rnacentral:misc_RNA from 1 species
GGCGCUGCACAGGCCAUUACUCUAGUGGGUAUUUAUAUGUCAGAAUAACUGUUGUUUGAUAACUUGUUUUCAUAAAUGCCUUGUUAUUCCAUGCAAUAUAUUACUUAUCUUGAAAAUAAUAAUUAUAAAAAGGAUUAAAUUUGAUCCCAAAAGGAGUUUGAGAUAAUUUAAAUUGAACUGAUUUUUCUCUCAAAAAUAUAAAAAUUAAAAAAAUAAUAAUUUGCAUCAAUAUGCAUUCUGCUAGCAGAAAAUUAUUAGGACUCUGGGUUUGUUUUGAGUGGAUUAAUUAGUAGGAAAGGUAGGGAAAUACUUGGAUAUGUAGGGUUCUUUUUAGAUGAAAUGGUAAAAGCUUUCAAGUUGAAUAAAAAAAUGAAAAAAGACGAAACAGGUUGGUUUUCUUUGUACUGUAAGCUGUAUCAAUGUUGCAAUGUUAGAAAUCCAGGAUGCUACAUGAUUGAGGAACAAAUUAAUUUACAAUAAAAAUUGGCACCAGCUAUCACUUAUUCAUGAAGACAUUCUGCACAUGUACGCCACCACCAUUUGCUCAUUUAUUGCUUGCACUGUGUCGUUUACUACAUUUGAACAUGUACCUGAAAGAACAAAGUUUAUUUGACUAUUCCAAGCUUAUGGGUCCCAUUGUUGUUAGCUUUCAUGCAUUCAAGCAAUUUCUUACCUGCUGAAUUCACUGUCAUUUGCAUUUUAUUUGAAAUCUGAGCAUUCUGUUAUCCAUAGUUUCUCUCUCUCUCUCUC